GUGCUCUCUUUGGCAGCAUGGAUACUAAAAAGUGCAACUAUACAGAGAAGAUGAGCAUGGCCCCUUUGCAAGGAUGACACGCAAAUUCGUAAAGCGUUCCAUAUUAUU